AUGACUUGAGGAUCUUGUUAAAAUGCAGAUUCUGAUUCAGUAUACCCAAUAUGUAGCCUGAGAUUCUGCAUUUCUAACAAACUCCCAAGUGAUGCUGU
rnacentral:pre_miRNA from 1 species